rnacentral:rRNA from 1 species
GUGUCAGCAGCCGCGGUAAGACGAAGGUGGCGAGCGUUAUUCGGAAUCACUGGGCUUAAAGGGCGCGUAGGCGGAACGGCAAGUGUCUUGUGAAAUCCCCCGGCUUAACCGGGGAAUGGCUGGGCAAACUGCCGUUCUUGAGGCAAGCAGGGGUGCGUGGAACUCUUGGUGGAGCGGUGGAAUGCGUAGAUAUCAAGAGGAACGCCGAUGGUGAAGACAGCGCACUGGGCUUGUCCUGACGCUGAGGCGCGAAAGCGUGGGGAGCAAACAGGAUUAGAUACCCUGGUAGUCCACGCCUUAAGCUAUGCCUACUAGGUUGUGGAGGUUCUGACGCCUUCGCAGCCGAAGCAAAAGUGUUAAGUAGGCCGCCUGGGGAGUACGGUCGCAAGGCUGAAACUCAAAUGAAUUGACGGGG